UACGGAGGAUGCGAGCGUUAUCCGGAUUUAUUGGGUUUAAAGGGUGCGCAGGUUGUUUGAUAAGUCAGUGGUGAAAGUCUGUCGCUUAACGGUAGGAUUGCCAUUGAUACUGUUAGACUUGAAUAUGGAUGAGGUAGGCGGAAUGUGUAGUGUAGCGGUGAAAUGCAUAGAUAUUACACAGAACACCGAUUGCGAAGGCAGCUUACUAAUCCAUCAUUGACGCUGAGGCACGAAAGCGUGGGGAUCAAA
rnacentral:rRNA from 1 species